ensembl:lncRNA
AUGGAGCAGGAAAAGAGGGAAUUCUGCGGUCCCCGAGGGGGACACGGCAGAGAUCCACAGGGAUCCCGAGGGCACGCAGAGACACCCCAAGGGAUGAGCCAUGGACACAAAGAUCUGUCCCGAUGGCUGGACUUCAUCACCCAGGAGAUGUCCCACAUGGAGGAGUUCAUCGACCACGAGCUGUGCCAGGAGAAAGCCAGGGGAGACCAGGAGCUGCGCCAAGGGAAAGGCAACGGACACGAGGAUCUGUCCCAACGGGAGGAAUUCACCGACCAAGGGGAACCCAAGAGAUCCCAAGAGAGGUGCCAAAGGAAAUCCAAGAAAUACCAAGAGCAGUGCCAAGGAGAAGCCAAUGGAUACAAAACCGUGUCACAAUGGGAAGAUCUAAUCAACCAAGAGAUGUCCCAAAUGGAAGAACUCUUCAACCAAGAGAUGCCCCACGUGGAAAACUUCCUCGACCAAGAGCCGUGCCAAGGAAAAGCCAAGAGACACCAGGAAUGGUGCCAAGGGAAUGUCAAGGGAUACAAAACUCUGUCCCAGUGGGAAGACUUAAUCCACCAGGAGAUGUCCCAAAUGGAAGGAUCCAUCAGCCACGAGAUGUCCCAGAUUGAAGGAUCCAUCAACCAUGAGAUGUCCCAAAUGGAAGGACCCAUCAACCAAGAGCUGUGCCAAGGAAAAGCCGAGAGAGACCAAGAACGGCACCAAGGGAAAGUCAACGGACACAAAACUCUGUCCCAGUGGGAAGAUUUAAUCCACCAGGAGAUGUCCCAAAUGGAAGAAUCCAUCAACCACGAGAUGUCCCAAAUGGAAGAAUUCACUGACCAAGACCCAUGCCAAGGGGACACCAAGAGAUACCCAGAGCAGUGUCACGGGAAUGUCAAGGGACACAAAACUCUGUCCCAGUGGGAAGACUUAAUCCACCAGGAGAUGUCCCAAAUGGAAGGAUCCAUCAGCCACGAGAUGUCCCAGAUUGAAGGAUCCAUCAACCAUGAGAUGUCCCAAAUGGAAGGACCCAUCAACCAAGAGCUGUGCCAAGGAAAAGCCGAGAGAGACCAAGAACGGCACCAAGGGAAAGUCAACGGACACAAAACUCUGUCCCAGUGGGAAGAUUUAAUCCACCAGGAGAUGUCCCAAAUGGAAGAAUCCAUCAACCACGAGAUGUCCCAAAUGGAAGAAUUCACUGACCAAGACCCAUGCCAAGGGGACACCAAGAGAUACCCAGAGCAGUGUCACGGGAAUGUCAAGGGACACAAAACUCUGUCCCAGUGGGAAGACUUAAUCCACCAGGAGAUGUCCCAAAUGGAAGGAUCCAUCAGCCACGAGAUGUCCCAGAUUGAAGGAUCCAUCAACCAUGAGAUGUCCCAAAUGGAAGGACCCAUCAACCAAGAGCUGUGCCAAGGAAAAGCCAAGAGAGACCAAGAACGGCACCAAGGGAAAGUCAACGGACACAAAACUCUGUCCCAGUGGGAAGAUUUAAUCCACCAGGAGAUGUCCCAAAUGGAAGAAUCCAUCAACCAUGAGAUGUCCCAAAUGGAAGAAUUCACUGACCAAGACCCAUGCCAAGGGGACACCAAGAGAUACCCAGAGCAGUGUCACGGGAAUGUCAAGGGACACAAAACUGUCCCAAUGGGAAGACUUCAUCAACCAAGAGAUGUCCCAGUGGGAAAGACUUUCUUGAGCAGGAGCUCAGGCAACAGAGCAGGGGGCACAUCCCCGCCCACACCACCGGUGCCAGGGUCAGCGCCCUCCAGCCCUGCCCAUCCUGACCUCCAGGGCCUUUCCCACACGGAGCCCGGCACUGAUCCCACCUCAGAGAAGUUCAGCAUUGUCAGGGAGUUAAUCUGA